rnacentral:rRNA from 1 species
CGUACACUCCUACGGGAGGCAGCAGUGGGGAAUAUUGCACAAUGGGCGCAAGCCUGAUGCAGCGACGCCGCGUGGGGGAUGAAGGCCUUCGGGUUGUAAACUCCUUUCGCUAGGGACGAAGCUUUUUUGUGACGGUACCUAGAUAAGAAGCACCGGCUAACUACGUGCCAGCAGCCGCGGUAAUACGUAGGGUGCGAGCGUUGUCCGGAAUUACUGGGCGUAAAGGGCUCGUAGGUUGUUUGUCGCGUCGUCUGUGAAAUUCUGGGGCUUAACUCCGGGCGUGCAGGCGAUACGGGCAUAACUUGAGUGCUGUAGGGGUAACUGGAAUUCCUGGUGUAGCGGUGAAAUGCGCAGAUAUCAGGAGGAACACCGAUGGCGAAGGCAGGUUACUGGGCAGUUACUGACGCUGAGGAGCGAAAGCAUGGGUAGCGAACAGGAUUAGAUACCCUUGUAGUCC